UACAAACAGCGCAGCGGCAGAGCAGCUUGUGUUUUGUACCGUUACUUAGAACAGCCAAACAGCUGUGUGUGUGUGUGUCCGUACGUACGCCAAUGUUAAUGUGAGUGUGUUGAGUGGGAGUGUGAUUCUAUUACUGAGAAAGCGUUAAUUGCAAUUAAAGCAGCAACACAGCAUCAUCAACGACGACGAAGACGAUUGAGUGCAGUGCCUAAACAUAAACAUGUUAGACUAACUAACUAACCACAAGACAAGACGCUGACAAUAACAAUUACGACGACGACGGCAGCCAGACAGACGCAGACAGUUGUGUGAGCGCGCGAUUACAUAAAACAACAAAGGACAACAACUGGAAAUUAGUCAUUCAUAAUUUAUUGAUUGUGUGGCCCACAACUUAAAUAAGCGUCGUCUAUUCGGUCAGUCCUGUUUUGGUGACAAGCGUCGCAAGCACAGGAAAAAAAAUCAAUAGCCAGAGCAGCAGCAGAACAACAAGAUAACAAGCGAUAAAAGCAGGAGCCAGGCAGCACAUUAUCAAAAGGAAGACACAGACCAAAGCGGUUGACUGAGCAGCGCCACCACAACAACAACAGCAGC